GGGAGUGUGGCUCAAAUGGUAAUGUGCUUGCCUAGCAAACAGGAGGUUCUGAGUUCAAACCUUAGUAUCUCCA
rnacentral:tRNA from 1 species